rnacentral:misc_RNA from 1 species
AAGUUUUUGAGCUCCUGUGAAAACAAUGCCAUAACUAUCAUAUUACCACUUACAAGGCACUUCAACAGCAGUAACUCUUACAAAGCAUUAGCUCCCGCGAAAAGCUCUUUGAUGAAACAGCUUAUAAUUAACAAUCCAAAUUCAAAACAAAUAAAUAAGAUACAAGAAAUCAAUAACCACGCAAAAACAACUACUUAACCAAGCUGAGAGGGAUUUCCUCUUCCUGCACAACUAAAACACUAUAAGGCAUAGGCCACAGAGCAAUCACACAGAGCCUUGAAAUCAAACUCAAUAUAUGACUAAAAUGAAACAGCAAUGGCAGAAAACAGAUCAAAAGCAGAUCUGGU